CACUGAUACUGUGAAAGAGCUGCUGAAUAAAGCCGUGUCUCAUCUACCUGCUGUCUCCCAAGUGUUCUUCCAGCUCCCUGCCCCUCAUCAACCCACUCUCCUCAGACCUCAGCUGGGGCUUGAACCUGAUAAUUGGUGUAGUCAUCAGGAUGAGCUGUACCCUUCAUCACGAAUUUGAUGGACUGCUUGACAAUGGAACUGGAAGAGUACCACUUUGUGGUGGACUUAGCUAAUGCAGUCUUCUCCAUUGACAUUGCUCCAGAGAGCCAGGAGAAGUUUGUCUUCACGUGGGAAGGAUGACAAUGGACUUUCACCAUGCUGCCACAGGGCUGUGUGCAUAGCCCCACCAUUUGUCCUGGUCUUGUUGCCAUGGAUUUAGCUGCCUGGAAAUGCCCAAAAGGGGUCUGCCUGUUUCAUUACAUUGAUGAUAUGUUAACCUCUGAUUCUCUCACAGAUUUAGAAGUGGUGGUGCCCCUCUUGUGACAGCAUUUGGCAGUGUGCAGUUGGGCCAUCAAUAAAUCCAAGGUCCAAGGGCCGGAAUUGUCUGCCAAAUUCUUGGGAGUUAUUUGCUCAGGUUCUGAUUCCGAUUCUCCAAUGUUGCUGGUUGGGAGGCCGUACUUUAAGAGUGAAGACCGUGGAGUCCCGAGUCUGGGCACCGAUAGAAAAGAAUCACCUGAUUUCCUUGUCCGCAAUCCCUGGGAGACACUCUUCAGGGUCUGACUGAAUGGAAAAGGAAGCAGGGAAUCCGGUCCAACGUUAAUGUCACCGCCCUCACUGCCCUCUUCAAUUUGAACAUGGUAUUUCUGGCAGUAGCCACCAGAGGGUGCUAAAGAACCUCCUUGAAACGGCUGCAGAGCCCUGUGAGGUUACCAGACUGUUUCCACAAGACCUGUCCUGGGCUGGUCUUGGGGUUUGUGGGGAGGACAGUUUGUUCAGGAGUGGAUGAGGAACAGAAGGGCCCCGAGACCACAGGUUGUGUCAGAGACAGAGCUGAGGCCCUCGCUGGGACUACCACUCAGAGAUAAGCACAAGAAUCAGGCCAAGGAGGCAUCAUUUGGGAUCCUCAUUCCUCUUGCCCCCCUUUGAGGGCAAAGGGUGUUAGUAUACUUAAGGAUGUUGUCCACUUAAUAGAGAGAAAGGGCUAGAUCAGGGAUUUUCCCCUGGGGCUUCCAGCCCCACUCAAGUUAAGGGAUAUAUUGAGAUAUUUAUUUGAUCUUUAGAUUUCAAAGGGAGAGGCUGUUAUCCAGAUUUAAAAAAAAAAUGCUUGAAAAUAAAAUUGAUUGCCUGCCAUAAGAUAAGCAAUUUUUUCAAUAGUAGAAUAUGUGAUAAAAAUACACAUCUUUAGCCUUCAUUAACUUUUAUUAAAAAUUAUAACAAUUCAUAUUUGGCAUAGCCAUCAGUUGUACAUGUAAAGUAAUAAAUGAGAUCAUGGUAUUUGGAGUCGGUCUGUGGGAUUCAAAUAUCAGAACUGACAUUCAUUAGCUGGGUGAUACUGGGCAAAUUCAUUUACCUCUCUGAACCUUAGUUUCCUCAUCUAACCUCUUCUGAAUGGAUUUGGCCAAUGAUGGGAGUCAGGGGGAUGGAAAGCAUGAAUAGGAAAUUGUAAGGUGGGAGGAUGUAGAGGUAGAGACACUUAUUUCCUCCAAGCCCUGUUCACACUCAGUUCUGUUCAUGGCUGAUGACUUGCUCGAUUUGAUAAUGAAUUUAAUAAUGUCAGCACUCUCGGAUGCACAAUAGUAGUUAUAAAAAUGUGGUUAGGUCCUACUCUCUCCUAGAUAAUAUGGUAAAAAAAUUAUUUCCGGCCGG
rnacentral:lncRNA from 1 species